UACGGAGGGAGCUAGCGUUGUUCGGAAUUACUGGGCGUAAAGCGCACGUAGGCGGCUAUUCAAGUCGGGGGUGAAAGCCCGGGGCUCAACCCCGGAACUGCCCUCGAAACUAGGUAGCUAGAAUCUUGGAGAGGCGAGUGGAAUUCCGAGUGUAGAGGUGAAAUUCGUAGAUAUUCGGAAGAACACCAGUGGCGAAGGCGGCUCUCUAGUACGGUACUGACGCUGAGACGCGAAAGCGUGGGGAGCGAACAGG
rnacentral:rRNA from 1 species